ensembl:lncRNA
CUUCAUGAAAAAUAAAAGCCUAGAAUCACUUUUGCAUUCUGCUUCUCAACAACGAUUGAAUCAUCCUUUAAGUAGAGUCAGAGUCAUUAUGUACUUCUCAGGUUCUGUCAGUGUGUCUCACAGCGAUAUUUAAAUUUAGUCUUCUCGAUCCCAUCAUGACACCUACAGAGUCUGAAGAAGAGGAGGAUGUUUAUGAAAACAUGGAGACAGAAAGCUAGAAACCAUAAAGUGAACACUGACCUCAUAAUUGGUGGAAGCUCCUACUGUGAGGAUUCUAUCAUCGUUGUUAUAGUAUUAGCAAACACUAAUAGGUUUUACGUGACAGAAACCCUAUUCAAACUGACUUAACAAAAAGGACAGUUUACGACAAAUGGUCCUGUGAUUGCAUGAGAUGGGAAUGUGCCAGCGCCUUAGGAGGAAUCAGAACCAGACGCUCAAAUGGUACUAAAAUCCUGGAAGGUGGGUCUACUUUGGCCCCUAUCCAUUGACAUCUCAGUGCUUUGGUGAGGACAGUUCAUCCAUGGAAUAUUUCAGAGAAGAGAAUCAAUAACUGCACAAGGAAUCACAUUCUGAUGCGGGUGAAGUAAACAAAACAACUCACAUAGGUGAAGUGCCCUGUGCAAGGUCGCCUGCUCCAAGUAAGAGGAUUCAGAAUGCAGACCCCACACUCUUGACUCCAGCCAGUCUCUUGCCUCAUUCCUGUGGAAAUGAAAAUACAGAUUGUUGUUCUUGUCUGAGGUUCAGGGAGAGGUGUUGAAGUACAGACUUCAUAGCAGCGGACUGGCUGAAACUGGGAUAAUCAUAUAUUAAUAAGUGUCUUUGGAGAAAAGCUUUCAGGAACACCUGUAUUGGCAUUAAUUUGGUUUGUCAAAAUAACAUUGUAAGCUUGAUAUCAUUUACCCCACUUUACAGAUGGAGAAACAGGAAAAUUCUGGUUUCACUCUGGUAUGCUGAGCUAUUAACUGAGCCAGAAAUUUAACCCCCAAAUCUGUGCUUUAACAAGGCACCAUUACCCUGAAGUUACAUUUACGUUAUCAACCUUCCUGCUGCAUCUUCGCUAUCUAAAACCCUAAUAGAUCCUGUAUGUUUUUUCAUUUAUUUGCAAGUGUUCAUAAUGCCGCACCCUUCAGGAUGGCCAUUAUAAAAAAAAAAAAAAAGAACUAAGUGCCUAAGUGUUGGUGAGGAUAUGGAGAAAUUGAAACCCUUGUGCAUUUCUGGUGGGAGUGUUAAAUGGUGCAGCCAUUGUGGAAAACGAUAUGGAAUUUGCUCAAAAAUUCAAACACAGAAUCACUAUACAAUCUAGCAGUUCCACUUCUGGUUAUGUACUCAAAUGAAUUGAAAGCAGA